rnacentral:hammerhead_ribozyme from 1 species
AUCCAGCUAACGAGUCCCACAGUAGAACGAAACGCGCAUCCUGGAU